UACGUAGGGGGCAAGCGUUGUUCGGAAUUACUGGGCGUAAAGGGCUCGUAGGUGGCCAACUAAGUCAGACGUGAAAUCCCUCAGCUUAACUGGGGAACUGCGUCUGAUACUGGAGUGGCUUGAGUUUGGGAGAGGGAUGCGGAAUUCCAGGUGUAGCGGUGAAAUGCGUAGAUAUCUGGAGGAACACCGGUGGCGAAGGCGGCAUCCUGGACCAAUAUGACACUGAGGA
rnacentral:rRNA from 1 species